rnacentral:rRNA from 1 species
UACGAAGGGGGCUAGCGUUGCUCGGAAUCACUGGGCGUAAAGGGUGCGUAGGCGGGUCUUUAAGUCAGGGGUGAAAUCCUGGAGCUCAACUCCAGAACUGCCUUUGAUACUGAAGAUCUUGAGUUCGGGAGAGGUGAGUGGAACUGCGAGUGUAGAGGUGAAAUUCGUAGAUAUUCGCAAGAACACCAGUGGCGAAGGCGGCUCACUGGCCCGGUACUCGACGCUGACGGUGCGAAAGCGUGG